rnacentral:misc_RNA from 1 species
AAAGAGGCUUGCAACCACUUAGAAGCCUCAAUUAAAAUCAUAUAUACUUGGUCUUAAUACUCCUUCAGAUUAUUGAAACCUUCUUUUCUUUCCUUUUUCUUUUUUACUAUUGAUUUCCAGAGACUUGAUGAAAAGUAAGAGAUUACGAUGUAGUUGACGGAAGAUCAUUUUUAUUACAAUUAAGAGCCCAAAACCUCUUAAUGGUUCAACAGUAUAGAUGGAUUUAAGAUCCACUCAGAAGAUUUAACAAGAAGCAUAGCAAGUAGGUAGAUAUUCA